rnacentral:piRNA from 1 species
UCCUUGGGAGUGUACUGGGCAUGAAG